UACAGAGGGUGCGAGCGUUAAUCGGAAUUACUGGGCGUAAAGCGUGCGUAGACGGUUAUGUAAGUCGAAUGUGAAAUCCCCGGGCUUAACCUGGGAACUGCAUCCGAUACUGGAUAUCUAGAGUAUGGUAGAGGAAAGUGGAAUUCCCGGUGUAGCGGUGAAAUGCGUAGAUAUCGGGAGGAACAUCAAUGGCGAAGGCAACUUUCUGGACCAAUACUGACGCUGAGGUACGAAAGCGUGGGGAGCAAACAGG
rnacentral:rRNA from 1 species